AUGUUGACCGGAAACAACGAUAUGAAGCCGCCGAUUCCUAAACGACCCCGGCGGAUGGCUAUGUCGCCGGAAUCAGCACCUUUAGCCUCCGGCAGUAGCAGCUUCAUCCCAGAUGAUAUAAUCUUCUUUCAGAUACUCGCACUUCUUCCUGUGAAGUCCCUUGUGCGCUUCCAAACCGUCUGCAAGUCAUGGCGCACCACAUUAACCAGCAUCAGUUUCGUGCGCUGGCACCUGGAGCUUUCCAAGCGAACAAGGUCGACCAUGGUCCUCGUGCCACGCAAGUAUCAGGAGGACCGACGGAAGGCGUGUUCUAGAUUACUCAGUAUCUUCAGCUUCCAGCCAGGGGAAAGCAAGUGUGUGGAGCUUAUCUUCCGAAAGGAAUUUCAUCCCUAUGGGAUCCCUGUGUUCAGCAUUCCUCUCCAUUGUGAUGGCCUGAUAUUGAUCCCUUGCAUAAUGGGGAAAAUUUUCAUCUGCAACCCGGCCACUAGAGAGUUUGUUGAGUUGCCACCUGGAAGCCCAAGUGUUCUCUUUGAGCACAGGGUCGCCUUUGGCUUUGAUCCUUGGAGUGGUACCUACAAGGUGGCGAGGCACUUCAUCCGCUCGUACAGAGAUACUCUGCAAAUAGAUGGGGAAGGAGGCACCACUAGAGAAUACAGCAGUGGACAUGAGAUCUUAACAUUCGGUGGUGACAGCAAAGAAGAAGCUUGGGUAUGGAAGGCCACUGUGGAUCCACCAUACCCUAUCAAGGCCAGGACUCCAAUUUGUCUCCCAGGGGUCUUCUUUUGGAGUGCUCUCAAGUCCAUGGCACAUGGCAAGGCAAGAAUGAUGCACUAUCUGCACUAG
rnacentral:rRNA from 1 species